rnacentral:rRNA from 1 species
ACGGGAGGCAGCAGUGGGGAAUAUUGGGCAAUGGGCGCAAGCCUGACCCAGCAACGCCGCGUGAAGGAAGAAGGCUUUCGGGUUGUAAACUUCUUUUGUCAGGGAACAGUAGAAGAGGGUACCUGACGAAUAAGCUCCGGCUAACUACGUGCCAGCAGCCGCGGUAAUACGUAGGGAGCGAGCGUUGUCCGGAUUUACUGGGUGUAAAGGGCGUGUAGGCGGGAUUACAAGUCAGAUGUGAAAUUCCGGGGCUCAACCCCGGAACUGCAUUUGAAACUGUAGUUCUUGAGUACUGGAGAGGCAGGCGGAAUUCCUAGUGUAGCGGUGAAAUGCGUAGAUAUUAGGAGGAACACCAGUGGCGAAGGCGGCCUGCUGGACAGCAACUGACGCUGAGGCGCGAAAGCGUGGGGAGCAAACAGGAUUAGAUACCCUGGUA